GUUGUUGCCUGUGAAUGGUAAAGUUGUUGCAAAAAUGGUAAAUGUGUUGCUUUUUUUACCGAUUUGGUAAAGUUGUUGCCCAAAGCAACAACUUUCCAUAUGAAAAUUGGUAAAUGUGUUGUCAUCACCAUUGACAAUACACACGAGCCUGCUCCUGCGUGUAUUAUCGCAUAGACUUUAAAAGAGGCUACCAAGGCGCUUGAUGGAUGCGCAUGCUGCAUGCAUGGAGUCCUACAUAUAUACAUGUAUGUACAGUUUGACAGAAUGAUGGUGUUAUGGCAGAUGAAUGAGAUGAGAAUUACGAAUGGAGGUGCUCCCAGUGAUUCCAGAGCUGUUCUUCCAAGAGAGUGUCAACUAGCACUGAGCCUGGAUGUAAGGAUGUUCCUUCUGGAUCAAGAAGCGAUUUGAUUGUGGAGCCUGGAUGUAAGGAUGUUCCUUCUGGAUCAAGAAGCGAUUUGAUUGUGGAGCCUGGAUGUAAGGAUGUUCCUUCUGGAUCAAGAAGCGAUUUGAUUGUGCUUACUGUUGUACAAAGUUGGCAACCGAGUAUUGGGGAAGCAGUUGUGCACACAACGUGUCAGCGUAGACUCCUCUAACCAGAUGGAGAGCAGACAAUGAUCAAGCUCAUUUUACAGGCUGCCCUUUCAAAUGCGUCCAAGAUGAAGAAAAGGCCAUUUCGAGCAUUGACCAAUGCUGUGUAUGACCCGAUGUCUAGGAA